rnacentral:tRNA from 1 species
CCUGAAGUAGCUCAGUUGGGAGACCAAUAGACUGAAGAUCUAAAGAUCCCUGGUUUGAUCCUGGGCUUAAGCA